rfam:Chitinimonas taiwanensis DSM 18899 genome assembly, contig: Ga0002118_scaffold00028.28
GGUCAAGCGAAUAAGUGCAUCUGGUGGAUGCCUUGGCGAUGAUAGGCGACGAAGGACGUGUAAGCCUGCGAAAAGCUUCGGGGAGCUGGCAAUUAAGCUUUGAUCCGGAGAUGUCCGAAUGGGGAAACCCACCCUUAGGGGUAUCCCAGACUGAAUACAUAGGUCUGUGGAGGCGAACUCAGCGAACUGAAACAUCUAAGUAGCUGAAGGAACAGAAAUCAACCGAGAUUCCGUAAGUAGUGGCGAGCGAACGCGGAGUAGCCUGUACGUGAUAGUCGAACUCUUAGUAGAACGGAAUGGAAAGUCCGGCCAUAGUGGGUGAUAGCCCCGUAUGCGAAAAGAGAUCGGUGGUACUAAGCGUACGACAAGUAGGGCGGGACACGAGAAAUCCUGUCUGAAGAUGGGGGGACCAUCCUCCAAGGCUAAAUACUCAUCAUCGACCGAUAGUGAACCAGUACCGUGAGGGAAAGGCGAAAAGAACCGCGGGAGCGGAGUGAAAUAGAACCUGAAACCGGAUGCAUACAAACAGUGGGAGCCUCCUUGUGGGGUGACUGCGUACCUUUUGUAUAAUGGGUCAGCGACUUACAUUCAGUAGCGAGCUUAACCGAGUAGGGGAGGCGUAGCGAAAGCGAGUCCGAAUAGGGCGUCUAGUUGCUGGGUGUAGACCCGAAACCAAGUGAUCUAUCCAUGGCCAGGUUGAAGGUGCGGUAACACGCACUGGAGGACCGAACCCACUAGUGUUGCAAAACUAGGGGAUGAGCUGUGGAUAGGGGUGAAAGGCUAAACAAACUUGGAAAUAGCUGGUUCUCCUCGAAAACUAUUUAGGUAGUGCCUCAUGUAUCACUGACGGGGGUAAAGCACUGUUAUGGCUAGGGGGUCAUCGCGACUUACCAAACCAUGGCAAACUCUGAAUACCGUCAAGUGCGAGCAUGGGAGACAGACAUCGGGUGCUAACGUCCGGUGUCGAAAGGGAAACAACCCAGACCCUCAGCUAAGGUCCCAAAUGCAUAGUUAAGUGGAAAACGAAGUGGGAAGGCAUAGACAGCCAGGAUGUUGGCUUAGAAGCAGCCAUCAUUUAAAGAAAGCGUAAUAGCUCACUGGUCGAGUCGUCCUGCGCGGAAGAUGUAACGGGGCUCAAACUAUGAACCGAAGCUAGGGAUAUGUCUUAGGACAUAUGGUAGAGGAGCGUUCCGUAGGUCUGUGAAGGUGUCUUGUGAAGGAUGCUGGAGAUAUCGGAAGUGCGAAUGCUGACAUGAGUAGCGAUAAACAGGGUGAAAUUCCCUGUCACCGAAAACCCAAGGUUUCCUGCGCAACGUUCAUCGGCGCAGGGUGAGUCGGCCCCUAAGGCGAGGCUGAAAAGCGUAGUCGAUGGGAAACAGGUUAAUAUUCCUGUACCG